rnacentral:rRNA from 1 species
AUUGAACGCUGGCGGCACGCCUAACACAUGCAAGUCGAGCGGCAGCGAGACUAGUAGCAAUACUAGUUGUCGGCGAGCGGCGGACGGGUGAGUAACACGUAGGAAUCUGCCCUUAAGCGGGGGAUAACCAAGGGAAACUUUGGCUAAUACCGCAUAAUCUCGAGAGAGCAAAGCUGCCCGCAAGGGUGGCACUUGAGGAGGAGCCUGCGUCCGAUUAGCUAGUUGGUGGGGUAAUGGCCUACCAAGGCGAUGAUCGGUAACUGGUCUGAGAGGACGACCAGUCACACUGGGACUGAGACACGGCCCAGACUCCUACGGGCGGCAGCAGUGGGGAAUAUUGGACAAUGGGGGCAACCCUGAUCCAGCGAUGCCGCGUGAGUGAAGAAGGCCUUCGGGUCGUAAAGCUCUUUAGGUUGGGAAGAAGGGUAUUGGCUGAAUAAUCCAGUACUUUGACGGUACCGACAGAAUAAGCACCGGCAAACUCUGUGCCAGCAGCCGCAGUAAAAC